UCUUGAAUAGCUCAGUCGGUAGAACAUGAGACUCUUAGUCUCAUGGUCAUGGGUUCGAACCCUAUUUUGGGCA